ACUCUAGGCCCGGAAGGCAGCAGUGGCACACCUGACUAUGCGCUUCCCUGGCUGGGCACCGUGGUGGGGUGGCACCU
rnacentral:SRP_RNA from 9 species